GGCGCAGUGGCAGAGUGGUCUAAUGCGCAAGACUAGAAUCACUCUAGAAUAUCUUGUUCCUUCGGGAGCGUCUGUUCGAAUCAGGCCUGCGUCG